rnacentral:misc_RNA from 1 species
GAUGAAGAACGCAGCGAAAUGCGAUAAGUAAUGUGAAUUGCAGAAUUCAGUGAAUCAUCGAAUCUUUGAACGCACAUUGCGCCCGCCAGUAUUCUGGCGGGCAUGCCAGUUCGAGCGUCAUUACAACCCUCAGGCCCCCGGGCCUGGCGUUGGGGAUCGGCGGAGCCCCCCGUGGGCACACGCCGUCCCCCAAAUGCAGUGGCGGUCCCGCCGCAGCUUCCAUCGCGUAGUAGCUAACACCUCGCGACUGGAGAGCGGCGCGGCCACGCCGUAAAACACCCAACUCUUCUGAAGUUGACCUCGAAUCAGGUAGGAAUACCCGCUGAACUUAAGCAUAUCAAUAAGCGGAGGA